ACGCUCGACACCUACGGGAGGCAGCAGUGGGAAUAUUGCACAAUGGGGGAAACCCUGAUGCAGCGACGCCGCGUGGAGGAAGAAGGUCUUCGGAUUGUAAACUCCUGUUGUUGGGGAAAAAGAGGAUGGUACCCAACAAGGAAGUGACGGCUAACUACGUGCCAGAAGCCGCGGUAAUCUGAGCGGGCUGGCAAGGC
rnacentral:rRNA from 1 species